UCGUAACAAGGUCUCCGUUGGUGAACCAGCGGAGGGAUCAUUACCGAGUUUACAACUCCCAAACCCCUGUGAACAUACCUAUCGUUGCUUCGGCGGGAUCGCCCCGGCGCCAUCGCGGCCCGGACCCAGGCGCCCGCCGGAGGACCCAAACUCUUGAAUUUAUGAAGUAUCUUCUGAGUAAACAAGCAAAUAAAUUAAAACUUUCAACAACGGAUCUCUUGGUUCUGGCAUCGAUGAAGAACGCAGCGAAAUGCGAUAAGUAAUGUGAAUUGCAGAAUUCCGUGAAUCAUCGAAUCUUUGAACGCACAUUGCGCCCGCCAGUAUUCUGGCGGGCAUGCCUGUUCGAGCGUCAUUUCAACCCUCAAGCCCCCGGGCUUGGUGUUGGGGCUCGGCCCGUCCCUCGCGGCGCGCCGUCCCCGAAAUCUAGUGGCGGUCUCGCUGCAGCCUCCCCUGCGUAGUAGCUAACACCUCGCAACGGGAACUGAGCGCGGCCACGCCGUUAAACCCCAACUUCUGAAAGGUGACCUCGAUCAGGUAGAACCCCC
rnacentral:rRNA from 1 species